AUGAUCAACAUCUCUGUGUGCAGUAUGCUUGAGAAUAGCUUUAAGGCUGAGUAACAAGGUUUGAAGAAAGUUAUUUCAUUUUUUUUCUGAACAUAUAUUGUUUGAUUCGUAAUUUAGUUUACAUGGUAUGACAUCAUUUAUUUUUGGUUUAAACUUUAGAGUAUAUAUGCUAAUUGUAUGCUCUAGAUCAGUUUAAAAAGGAUGCAGAUGUCUAGUCGUAAUAGGCCAAUCUACAAACUUUCAUAGCCUGAAGUUUAUGAACAGUGAAUACACAUCGGUUCUAACUUCUGUGUUUGUAAAGAUGCUAAAAGUAUUCUCGCUCUAUUAAUGUCUUCUUAGGUAAAAUAGAUUUGAUUUACAUGUGCCAGUAUUUUGGAAGCAUAAUAGACACUGAGCUUCAAACGUUUGGUCAGGUUCAUCAUUUUUAAUGCACCAACACCAAUGAGCCCCUUCUCAGCACAAUGAAAUUGUUUACAUGUAUGCAUUUUUUUCUUGCUAUUGUUAUGAAAAAAGCAUUAUUUCUGAAAUAUUGACUUCCAAUUUAUGAAAUAUUGAUUUCCAAUUUCUGAUAGUAUCUUCAGGGCCAGUCUACAAACUUUCACAGCCUGAAGUUUAUGAACAGUUAAUACACAUCGGUUCUAACUUCUGUGUUUGUAAGGAUGCUAAAAGUACUCAGACUCUGUUAAUGUCUUCUUAGAUAAAAUAGAUUUGAUUUAUAAGUGCCAGUAUUUUGGGAGCAUAAUAGACACUAAGCUUCAAACGUUUGGUCAGGUUCAUCAUUUUUAAUGCAGCAACACCAAUGAGCCCCUUCUCAGCACAAUGACAUUGUUUACAUGUAUGCAUUUUUUUCUUGCUAUUGUUAUGAAGAAGCUUUAUUUCUGAAAUAUUGAUUUCCAAUUUAUGAAAUAUUGAUUUUAAUUUCUGAUAGUACCUUUGGUGCAUUUCUUAACUUCUUUAUUCCAGCCUUGGGAUACUGUAUAAUCUUACCAAAUGAACAUAGAUAGGUCUAUGUUUGGUUUAUGUUCAUUACUGUCAUUUUUCUGUUGUGUGCUCUGACAAGGUGGACUUAACACACCCUAAUCUACUAUGACAAACAGAGCAGGGCCUGCUGUAGCCAAUGAGUUGGAUACAGUGGACACAAUCACAUCAAUUUUGCGGUUCAAUUACUUUGCAAAAGGUUGUAUAUGCAGCCUCUCUUUUGUAGUCAACUCUUUUAUAAUGGCUAAACCUAGAAUUUCUUUUACGCAAACUCGACAUGAUCCAAAUCAGUUGCUCCCAGUCAGGAGCUGAUUUGAGUCUAGCGCCAAAUCACCUCAAACUUUUAUAGCCCAAUUUGUCUCUCUGUGUUGGCAUCAUGAGCCAUCCGUCCCAUUCAGCUUGAUAGCAGGUUAUGACACAGCCAGGCAGAAACCUGGAAGGAUUACCCAGGUCUAAAUUGGACCAUUGCAUCAGCACACAUCUCUUGCUCUCGCCCUAUUUUAGAUAUAUUGUUAUUUUGUUCUCACACAUUCGUGCUUUGCUCCUUGUUUUGCAGUUAUGCAUAUAUCUAAUAAAAGUGGAAGGAUACCAUAUGCCACUUUUUUCUAAUAUAAGAUAACCCUUCAUAUUUCAUUUUUCUCUUAAUGUAGGACAACUAGAUUUAUAUACUCUCCAUAGUAGCUGCUCUUGACAGAAAAGAAAGCAACAGAAGUGCCAUUCAUACAUGUCAAAAGAUUAAUUUGCAGCAAUAAAUUAUAAUUCCACAGGUCUGAAUUGUGUGUACAUACAUACAUGUAAAAAAAUAAUUUGCAAGGACAGGUAAUAAUUCCACAUGUCCGACUUGGUGGGUUACACAUCCUACUAUCCCCUUGUUUGUUUUUUAAAUAAUCUGGUCGGAUGACAAUUCUACUAUUUGCUUCUAUAUUUUCUCCAAAUCUCCCCUUCUCUUGUUCUGUUACAGCUUGUUAAUAUCACUUGCUGCAGACAAAGUACGUCAAAAGGCAACGUCUAAGUAAUAUGUUGAUACACAAAGAUAGAAGGUUACAUGUGCGUUGUUACUAUCUCACGCCAACUCAGACCUCUACUGGAUAACGUUGCACACCAUGCGACUAGACAGACACUAAAUUUGGGUACCUCUACAAAGCACUUAAUUUAUUGUGCCUCUUUCGAAAAAGGUUCUUUUCUUUCGUAAUUACCUAACCACUGCUAUACUAUACUAACAUUUUGAAUUCACAUAUACAAACUCGGCUUCAUUACUACUGACGGAACAUCCGAAGCAGAAUUUUUUGUGUCAUGGAGAUACAAAUUAAAAGUUAGUUUAUUGUAAUUUCCAAAAAAACAGCAGAGAGCACUUAACAAGGCAAGGGAGUAUCAAUUUAAAUUAUGCUACCAAAAUUGUGUUGAAAACUUACUUUUACACAAAUCCUUGAAAUUAACAAAAAAAAUUGUCUUCCUUGUUCACUCACUGAGAACUUGUGGUGAUAACGGUCCCAGGCCAGUUGCGAGCAACAUAUGGGUUGUUCUCGUGAAGGAAGUUGAACACCUCGUCCAACAGCUGCAACAGAAAAGCUCAAGGUCAAAUUUCAAAAAAAGGACGAUGACCAAUAUAGAAGUUAUCUUAACAAUGACAGACUGUCAUCACCACCUAAAAAGUAUGUGGCACAAAGCACAUAUAGGAUCAAGGCUAGCCAACUUCACAAACUUCAAUCAGAUUUUACUGACCCUGAAAACGAUAACCAUUAGAUCGUUGUGAAUUACAUGAAGAACGUGGGCAUGAGCGUGCGCAAUACACUAGUGUUGGGACCAUGCUUCGUCGCCGAAGGUCCUGCAAAAAGAAACAGCUUCGGCUGAAGCUGCUUGAACAUGAUGCCGAAGACACCGUUCACGAAGCUUCGGAGCUACAACAUAUCCGAAGACGAAGGGUCGAACCGACUUAAAGAUAGAAUGACCAUUUAGCCCAUAAGGGUCUGAGUCAUUGUUGUAAACUUUUAUGAGGGGCAUAAUUGUAAUUCCUCAUGAGUUGUGUCCUGUGCCUAUAAAUAGUGAACAGUAUUCCUUUACUGUUCACGGAUUCCUGUAAUUGCCAACGCAUCACUCGGGAAUUAUUGUUUGUCAAGGCAAAGGUAUAAAUGUACCU
rnacentral:lncRNA from 1 species